GGAUGUGAGGGCGAUCUGGCUGCAACAUCUGUCACCCCAUUGAUCGCCAGGGUUGCUUUGGCUGAUCUGGGCGGCCAGGCGGGUGUCCCCUUCCUCCCUCACCGCUCCACGUGGGUCCCUCCUGAAGCUGCGCACUUGCUGGAAGAGGACAACCACCCCCAACAGAGGAGGCCCGUUUCCUUGGUCAAGGGUGUACUGUAGCUGCGCUCCCAGGCUAGAACCUCCAGACAAGCUCUCAAGAGCAUCCUUAAACAGUGCGCGCCAUACCUGCUGGGUCCUAGGACUCCACUGGGGUCCUGGGCCUCC
rnacentral:snRNA from 1 species